UCACUAUUUCACAAAGAAACGUAACACAAGACAUCACACAUUCAAAAUCCACUAUAUGAUUUUUUUUUCCAACAGGUACAUAACAUCAACAUGUUUCAAGCUUUUUCAUACAACAUACACAAGUGCAAAUGUACUAUCUCACACCACACGACAACCAACACAUACAACUAGCAAUCACAUCUAAUUACGUCGUCAAGCUUCAUCUGUCUCUUGUUCAUCCACGACAUCAACUACCAAACCUUCUAAGAUUUCUUGUUGUAUCUCAUCCUGAAAAACAAAGAGAAUAGGGUGACAAGGUCAAAAGACGUACAUGACUAUAUUUUUUUUCAAGUUAAAGGUAGCGAUUUAAUCAUUCAACACUACAGAAGUUAGUGGCUUAUCAGUUCCGUGAGCUUCCCAAGAAGUUGCUGGAACGCCGUACUGCUUUGUGGGUCGCUGCUUGCACCAUGGACAGUGGCAGUAAGAACAAGUCCAUUAUGAAACAAAAUGAAGAACAACAGUAGAAGCAUCUAAAGUGCAACUUUCUAAAGCAUUGGCUUCAUACAUGCCAUUUUUUCAUGCACUAUACCAGCAAACAUCCAUAAAAUGCUCACAAGCUACAUUAAUUAAUCAAAUGCUCAGACAAGCGAGUAUCUUGUCUAGUUGAUUCCCAUCACAUGAGAGCUGCAACUACCUACAAGAAGUAACAGAGGAUAAACACAAUUUUCACCGAACAGUGAGGAAUAAAAAUUUCGGAGCACUAUGCUACUAGCAUGAAGAAACAUCGCAUCAUAGAGACUGUCUGCUGAAACGCACACAGAUGUGUCAGUCCUGAAUCCUGAUGAAUAUGUAUGUGGCAUGCAUGACUAUCAUGAAACCUCUAAGCUAUAAAUGAAUUGAAACCCACCAAGAUGCAACUGCUACCCGAGCCAUUCAUAUCAUCAACAAUACUACAUGCGACCAUAUGACUGUAUUAAUCAGAGGAACAAUUCUAGAUAAUUAACCAGACAACAAGGGGAUACCUGCUUACAUUUAUCUGCAGCUCGGUGGUGCGUGCGUGCAUAGGUGACCAAGACUGUACAGGCGAGGAAGCAGUAGAGGAUGUGCAGCUACGACGAUUUAAUUAAGCUGGAGCGUCCACCGCAAUGCGAUCUUGCUUGAACGAACCACCGGCCUUCGCCCAGACUAGCCCCCUGAUGGGCGCCCCAGAUCCCUGCU
rnacentral:lncRNA from 1 species